AUUGAACGCUGGCGGCAGGCCUAACACAUGCAAGUCGAGCGAGCGGCGGACGGGUGAGUAAUGUAUGGGGACUGCACGAUAGAGGGGGAUAACUACUGGAAACGGUGGCUAAUACCGAAUACUAUCGGAUAACCCAUAUGGGAUUAGCUAGUAGGUAUGGUAAUGGUGUACCUAGGGGACGAUCCCUAGCUGGACUGAGAGGAUGAUCAGCCACACUGGGGCGGAGACACGGCCCAGACUCCGACGGAGGCAGCAGUGGGGAAUAUUGCCCAAUGGGCGCAAGCCUGAUGCAGCCAUGCCGCGUGUAUGAAGAAGGCCCUAGGGUUGUAAAGUACUUUCAGUCGGGAGGCGUUACCGACAGAAGAAGCACCGGCUAACUCCGUGCCAGCAGCCGCGGUAAUAC
rnacentral:rRNA from 1 species